rnacentral:rRNA from 1 species
UACGGAGGGUGCAAGCGUUAUCCGGAUUCACUGGGUUUAAAGGGUGCGUAGGUGGGCAGGUAAGUCCGUGGUGAAAUCUCUGAGCUUAACUCAGAAACUGCCGUGGAUACUAUUUGUCUUGAAUGUUGUGGAGGUGAGCGGAAUAUGUCAUGUAGCGGUGAAAUGCUUAGAUAUGACAUAGAACACCAAAUUGCGAAGGCAGCUCACUACACAAUUAUUGACGCUGAGGCACGAAAGCGUGGGGAUCAAACAGG